rnacentral:rRNA from 1 species
UACGUAGGCAGCAAGCGUUGUUCGGAGUUACUGGGCGUAAAGGGUGUGUAGGCGGUUGUUUAAGUUUGGUGUGAAAUCUCCCGGCUCAACUGGGAGGGUGCGCCGAAUACUGAAUGACUAGAGUGCGGGAGAGGAAAGUGGAAUUCCUGGUGUAGCGGUGAAAUGCGUAGAUAUCAGGAGGAACACCGGUGGCGUAGACGGCUUUCUGGACCGUAACUGACGCUGAGACACGAAAGCGUGGGUAGCAAACAGG